rnacentral:rRNA from 1 species
UACGAAGGGGGCUAGCGUUGUUCGGAUUUACUGGGCGUAAAACGCACGUAGGCGGAUCGUUAAGUCGGGGGUGAAAUCCUGGAGCUCAACUCCAGAACUGCCUUCGAUACUGGCGAUCUUGAGUCCGGAAGAGGUGAGUGGAACUCCUAGUGUAGAGGUGGAAUUCGUAGAUAUUAGGAAGAACACCAGUGGCGAAAGGCGGCUCACUGGUCCGGUACUGACGCUGAGGUGCGAAAGCGUGGGGAGCAAACAGG